GAUCAUGUCCGCACUGCGUUAUGAAUCAUAUGACUGUAGAAACUCACAGACUUCCUGUUUGCGCGCGACAGAGCGAUCGAAAAGGCAGAGUUCAGUCCUCUAGACAAAAAAAUCCACAUAGAAACAACUCUACGACUCUUUGCACGGAGACGAUGUGCAUAAGCUACAGAGGAUGGAGGACAAGGUGACCGGAGACAGGAGAGUCGAGGACAAGAGGAGUUUAAUCGGGACACAGCCUGUUGUCCCAACCGACACCCGAGUCCACGAAUCACCCGAAUCCACAGAUGACAUCAGAUCUGUCCAGCAUGGCACGCCGUGUUUCGUUUACAUCCUCGCGGGUUUUUCAGCUCUGGGUGGGUUCCUGUUCGGCUAUGAUACAGGUGUGGUGUCCGGAGCCAUGCUGCUGCUCAAGAAGGAGAUGAACUUGAGCUCUCUGUGGCAGGAGCUUCUGGUCUCCAUCACCGUAGGUGCCGCUGCCCUGUCUGCUCUGGCUGGAGGGUAUCUCAACGGGGUCUUCGGCCGGAGAAUCUGCAUACUUCUCGCCAGCUUUAUCUUCUCUGCGGGUGGUGUUAUAUUGAGUGCUGCGCCCAACAAAGAGGUCCUCCUGUUUGGACGACUUAUAGUUGGGCUUGGUUUAGGUAUUGCAUCUAUGACCGUGCCGGUUUACAUCGCUGAGGUUUCUCCUCCUCAGCUUAGAGGCCAGCUGGUCACCAUUAACACUUUGUUCAUCACUGGCGGUCAGUUCAUAGCCAGUGUGGUGGAUGGGGCCUUUAGCUACAUGCAGAAUAAUGGCUGGAGAUAUAUGCUGGGUUUGUCUGUGCUUCCGGCUGCUUUGCAGUUCUUCGGCUUCCUCUUUCUCCCGGAGAGCCCUCGAUGGCUUUUGCAGAAGGGGGAGACCCAGAAGGCUCAGCGGGUGCUUGUUCAGAUCCGUGGCGGUAUAAAUGUUGAUGAGGAGUAUGAGGCCAUGAGGAGCAGCAUUGAGGAAGAGAGGAACGAUACUGGUGAUGGUCUGGUGUUGUGGCGUAUGCUAAGGUAUGCUCCGGUACGGCGUGCACUGAUCGUGGGUUGUGGUCUACAGAUGUUCCAGCAACUUUCUGGAAUCAAUACGGUCAUGUACUACAGUGCCACCAUACUGCAGAUGUCUGGAGUACAGGAUGAUCGGACGGCCAUCUGGCUGGCUGCUGCCACAGCCUUCACUAACUUCCUGUUUACCCUCGUGGGGGUGUGGCUUGUGGAGAGGGUGGGCCGCAGAAAACUGACACUGGGGAGUAUACUGGGCACUGCUUUAAGUCUGAUGGUCCUGGCAGCUGGUUUCCUGCUGUCUGCUCAGGCCUCUCCACCUGUGACCUUUCACCCUAGUGACCCCUCCCUCAACAGCUCCUCCUGCAAUACAUAUGGUUUCUGUGAACCGUGCAUGUUGGAUCCAGGUUGUGGUUUCUGUUAUGGGAGAAAUGGCACAGUUGUAGUGGAGUCCUCCUGUUUGCCAAUAAAUGCUGACAACACUGAGACCGCUGCUUUGGGAAGAUGUUCCAAUGGCACCCAGGAGAGCACAGGUGCAUUCUGGGCCUAUAACUACUGCCCAACAUCGUAUUCCUGGGUGGUUUUGUUGGGUCUAAUUCUGUAUUUGGCUUUUUUUGCUCCAGGUAUGGGUCCUAUGCCAUGGACCGUGAACUCCGAGAUUUAUCCACUUUGGGCUCGGAGCACAGGAAACGCCUGCUCUGCUGGGGUCAACUGGAUCUGUAAUGUGCUUGUUUCUUUGACCUUCCUCCACGUGGCCCAAUACCUCACAUACUACGGAGCUUUCUUCUUGUACUCCAGUCUGGCUCUACUGGGUUUUGUGUUCGUGGUGGGCUGUCUGCCGGAGACCAAGGGUCUGCGUCUGGAGGAGAUCGAGUCUCUUUUUGGCAGAAGGCUCUGCACCUGUGGCGCUGGGAGUCAGGGUGUACACUACAUCAGGGUAAAAGGAGGGAACUAUCGCUCCGAUGAAGAUGUUACUGAUGAUGAUCAAUAGAUUUCUGUGAAUUAGUGGUGCGAGGGUUGCCGUGGUUCCCAUUCCAGAGAUUCAAGGAUUAUGUUGACUCGUAAAUGUUAAACCGGCCUCGAUUGGAGUUGGGAGCAUUGCAUUAUGGUACACUGGAGCCGGAGGGCAGAAUUGCCUACAUAUCAUUGCAGUAAUGAAGCCUCUAUUUGUGGACAUGAAGAUUUGCUUGUUUACUGAAUUAUUUCUUUUUAAAGUUGAUAUUCAAGUUGUGAGAUUGUAAUACAAUCUUAUUAUGUGAUACAAUUUUUUUGUAUGCAAUGUGGAUUUUAUCAUUAUGGCCUGAUAAUUUUUGUCUUGCUGUAUAGAGUUAGAAUUUAAAAAGACAUUUGUAGAGAAUACAACAAAUCACAUCUUAAAUAAGGAGUAUAUUUACCUUAAAUGCAAUAUUUUCAAAACUGGAUUGCAUUUUCUGAUCCACACUUGUGACUUAGAAAUAGCUGCUGAUAUGUAUUUCUAAACUGUGCACUUUCAUAAAUAAAUGUUUGUAAAUGA